CUCCAAUGACCAUUGGCUGCGACUUCUUAGAGGGACUUUGUAAUCAAAUGCAAGGAAGUUUGAGGCAAUAACAGGUCUGUGAUGCCCUUUAGAUGUCUGGGCCGCACGCGUGCUACACUGACGCAUACAGCGAGUAUCUCCAGCUCCGUGAGGCAGCUGGUAAUCAGCAAUAUGCGUCGUGAUGGGGAUAGAUCUUUGGAAUUUUUGAUCUUGAACGAGGAAUGCCUAGUAAGCGCAAGUCAUCAGCUUGCGUUGAUUAAGUCCCUGCCCUUUGUACACACCGCCCGUCGCUCCUACCGAUUUCGAGUGGUCCGGUGAACCCUUUGGACCGGAGCCCGUUCCUUGCGGGCACUGGAAAGUCGAGUAAACCACAUCACUUAGAGGAAGGAAAAGUCGUAACAAGGUUUCCGUAGGUGAACCUGCGGAAGGAUCAUUAGCACUUGACCAAACCUACUCAACCAAGCCAUACUGUUGCAGAGCGCAAGCUUUGCAGCUUAAACCUAACCAAAAGAAGCUUAACUAAGCUCAUCAAAAACCAAAUCCUCAACGAUGGAUAUCUAGGUUCCCACAACGAUGAAGAACGCAGCGAAGUGCGAUAAGCAAUGCGAAUUGCAGAACCGGGAGUCAUCAGAUUUUUGAACGCAACUGGCUCCUGGGGGCUCUCCCCCAGGAAUGCUUCUUCCAGUGUGUCAUUAUCUCCUCACCCAAACCUUAAUGCGAUAGAUGCCCUUCUAUUGCUAAGCUCGAAAGCACUCUGAGCUCUGCAGCGGCCGUCUUCGGACGGAAGCACUCAAUGCAGCAGUCACAUUCUCCAAUGUGAACUCAUUGAGAGUAGAGUCAGCGCAUGUCUCAUGCCAGUGCUUAGACACUCAAAUUUUCACAGCAUCUGGGAUGAAGUAGGACCACCCGCUGAACUUAAGCAUAUCAUUAAGCGGAGGAAAAGAAACUAACAAGGAUUCCCUUAGUACGGGCGACGGAAGCGGGAAAAGCCCACACUGGUAAUCUCCGGUCGAGAGGCCGGCGAAUUGUAAUCUGAAGGACCGUAGCCAGGGCAGGCAGGGGAGGCGCAGAAGUGUCCACGAGCGGACCGCCAAAGAGGGUGAGAGCCCCGUCUGUGGUGUCUUCCCUUGUCCGGCUGGGG
rnacentral:rRNA from 1 species